rnacentral:rRNA from 1 species
UUAGAUACCCCACUAUGCUCAGCCGUAAACUCUUUAAUUACCUACAAAACCGCCAGGGAACUACGAGCCCACCCUUAAAACCCAAAGGACUUGACGGUGCCCCAUAUCCCCCUAGAGGAGCCUGUCCUAUAAUCGAUGAUCCACGUUUAACCUCACCACUUCUUGCAAACCAGCCUGUAUACCUCCGUCGUCAGCUCACCGCAUGAGCGAUUAAUAGUGAGCAAAAUGGUUACCCACCAAAACGUCAGGUCAAGGUGCAGCAUAUGUAGUGGGAAGAGAUGGGCUACAUUUUCUAAUUUAGAAAAUACGAAAGACUCAGUGAAACCCUGUCAGAAGGCGGAUUUAGCAGUAAAGAAAAACCAAAAUACUUUCUUUAACACGGCCCAGGGGCAUGUACACACCGCCCGU